GUCCCGGCAGCUCAGUCGGUAGAGCGCCUAGCAAUAACUACCAGGAGGGCGCAGGAUCGAAGCCUACCCAGGAUA